GCUGGGUGUGGUGGCACACGCCUGUAAUCCCAGCUACUCAGGAGGCUGAGGCAGGAGAAUUGCUUGAACCUGGGAGGCAGGGGUUGCAGUGAGCCGAGAUCACACCACUGCACUCCAGCCUGGGUGACACAGCGAGACUCUGUCUCAA
rnacentral:SRP_RNA from 1 species